ensembl:lncRNA SNHG15 small nucleolar RNA host gene 15
GCAGCGCGCGGCGUCAGUCUUGGCUGGCAGACCUGUACUCCGUACUCCGUACUUCGUAGUCGCAGCGGCGCGGUCUUCGGCAGUCUAGUCAUCCACCGCCAUCCUGGGCCCCACGUGUUGCCUGACCAUUCCUGAGCCCAGGUGGGAGCCGUGGCUGAGGUGACGGUCUCAAAGUGGAAGAGCUUACUGUCACAGCAACUCCUUUGCAAGAUGCCCCGGUAAAUCACGUUGCAGAGACCCCAACUCUGCCUUCCUGGAACUAGGCCUGCGUUUUCUCUGAACCAUUAUUUCAUGGGGAAAAUGAAAUCUACUUCAUGUGCCUGGUCUACUUACUCCUUCAGAAGUGAUUUCUGAGCCGUAAGAUACAUGAGAAAAAAAUGAAGGGGAAAAGGCAGUAUUUAUAUUAACUACAUGAUGAUAAGGAUGUUUCUGGUCACAGUGAAAAGCCAUGCUAGAAUUGUAGUGUCAUAGAAUAAUGUGGAAGUUUAGUUCGUGUUGUCUGAUCUAUUUAAUAAUUUAAUAAGGUUAUCUCUUCCAAGACACCUUCCCUUCUUCCUCAGCCAGAAAGGAUCUUUCCCUGAGAGUCAUUAGUAGCUCUGGGCUCCUGGAACCAAGCUCAGGUGCCUAAUUGAACUCUGGUCUCUUCCCACAGCCCCCAGCAGGGACUGGUGCUUAGUGAGAGUGGACUGCCAGAUUCCUUGAGUGUGGGGGAUUUGGGUGAAUGAGGGUAGCAAGCCUCCAGCGUGCUUGGGUCUGCGGUGACCCUAUGCAUUCCUUCAGUGCUUGCUAGAACAGUUUUGAAACGGUUUGAGGCCUUGCCCUGCUCCAUCCAGAGCAAGGUUAUAGAAAUUUCAGACAAUGACUUCCUCCCUCCUGGAUCUAGUGUCCUGGGCCUUGUAUAGAUCCGUGCCAUCUAAUGUGGUAGCCACUUGGCACACAUGAUUAAAUUAAAUUUGGAGUUUUAUUUCAUUUUCACACUAGCCACAUUUCAGAUGAUCAGUAGCCACAGGUGGCCAGUGGCUACCAUAUUGGACCGCACAGAUUAGAGGGCAUUUCUGUCGCUGUGGAAGUUGUUUUGGACAAUGCUGGUGUGAAAGGUGAAGGGAAUCCUGAGUGUUUGCUGUGCUCCAGGCUCAGUACAAAUUUUAUUUUAUUAUACACUUAAAGCAAAAGUCUUAUAAAAGUUGAGGAUGAAGCCAAGAGUGGUGGUAAGGGUAGGAGUUGAAACAGUGAAGAGGAAUAACAGGGAAGAGUCCUGCCCUGAGAGACUCAUGGAAUAGGAUAUUUACAAGGCAAAGCAAAGAGAACCAAAGUCUCAGUUCUGCAGAGGAGCUGAGUGCCCCAGGAGCUAGUGGAGGGUGAGGUCAAUGUGUGCUCAUCUUAAAGGAAAAACUCAUGGAAGAGGAAGGUGCUAAUGUUGAACACCUAUUUUGCGCCAGACCUCUUAAUUGUUUUAAAUCUUUGAGGUAUCAUCAUGAGGUCGUUUUUAAGUUCAGUACAGAUGAGGGGCCCAAGGUCAGAAUUAUGUGUCCAGGGUUGCCCAGCCACAAACCAGCAGAUCAGGGUUUGAUGCCAGGCCUCUCUAACCCUGCAUCCUGAGUGGAAUAUAGAAGCCGGUGGGAAGUUUGGAUGGGAAGGAGAUGGAUGCCUUCAAGUUCUUGUCUUGGUGUUAGGUGUGUUAAAGGACUGGCUGGGAUGAGAAGAGUGUUGCUGGCUUGAGCAUAGCACGAGCAGCACAGCUCCUGUGUUCCUCUGGGUGGUGGGGUCACCUCUCUUAAAGGUAGAGGCUUUCAGCUGAUUCUGUCUUUUCAGGCCAGGAAUAGUUGCUGAACACCCCAGGCCUGCUGAGGUCCCUCCUUGAGUCUCAUGUUCAAGCAGUCUUUGUCCAUGAAACUGGGAGGCGACCGUGUUAGCUGCCAGUUCCUGACAGCCACCUCUCACCAGUGGCUUCACUCUGUGUCCCUGACCCAGCACAUGGCACAAGAGUGCCUGCCAUCCGUCAGUGUUUCUACAGCAGCAAUCCCAAGAUGCUGGAGCUAGAGGGGACCUGACCUGAGAGAAGAUACCUUCAGUGGCUGCCAGGCUGUUCCUUGGAACCUGUGCAGGGAUGAGGCCUGCCUGUGUUAAUACACCUAGUGAGGAGUGGAGCUGAAUUUGAAUGCAAGCCUUGGCACCUUAAUUGAGCAAGUUUGAAACCUCGCUUGUUGCCCUUCUGGAAGGAGUCAGGAAUUUCCAGUUCUGGGCCUGGGCUGUGGGUCUGGCAGACAGACCUCUGGCCCUAGGUUUGGGUGCCAGGUUCUCUGCUUCCAGAAUGAGAAGCUUUGCUGUGCACCAGGACCUGGGC